AUUGAACGCUGGCGGCAUGCCUUACACAUGCAAGUCGAACGGCAGCACGGGAGCAAUCCUGGUGGCGAGUGGCGAACGGGUGAGUAAAGUAUCGGAACGUGCCCAGUCGUUGGGGAUAACGUAGCGAAAGUUACGCUAAUACCGCAUACGAUCUAUGGAAGAAAGCGGGGGGUCGCAAGACCCCGCGCGGUUGUAGCGGCCGAUAUCAGAUUAGGUAGUUGGUGGGGUAAAGGCGCACCAAGCCGACGAUCUGUAGCUGGUCUGAGAGGACGACCAGCCACACUGGGACGGAGACACGGCCCAGACUCCUACGGGAGGCAGCAGUGGGGAAUUUUGGACAAUGGGCGAAAGCCUGAUCCAGCCAUGCCGCGUGCAGGAUGAAGGCCUUCGGGUUGUAAACUGCUUUUGUACGGAACGAAAAGGUUUGGCCUAAUAAGCUGAGCUCAUGACGGUACCGUAAGAAUAAGCACCGGCUAACUACGUGCCAGCCGCCGCCGUAA
rnacentral:rRNA from 1 species